AAAUUGCAACAUAUAUCAAAAGUGGCCCUAGCUCGUUCCCACAAAUCAAAGUCCAUUUGCAAAGAAAAUACAAUUUUUGCGGUUAUAUUCUCAAUACCUUGACAUUCCUGUUGAUAAGAAUAUGACACUUACUUAUUAUGUUAUUUUCUGAAAAUUAAAAUAUUGCAUGACUGGUGGUACAAACUUAUUGACAUUGAUCAGGCCGGCAUGACGUCACUUCCAUUGCAACAGAUAUUGCAAAUAUUGAGGAGGUGAAAGCAGAACCUAGCAACUCUUAGCUAUUAAACCAGCAAUGUGGGCUAUGAUGUUCUUUCAAAUAAAACAGAUCAAGAUACUUUGCCCAUUUAGUUGAUUUUAUUAUCUGCAGUGAGCAGCAGUCCCUAUGGUAAAGAAAAUGGAAUCUAUCUUGUGGAUACCUGUGGCAUUUGCGGCGUCAGCAGCUUGGUUAUAUAUACUCUCAAUAAAUCUGCCAGAACACACAGGAUCUCAAAGAUCAGCACUGAAGUUUCCAAGGAAUUUUGAUGAUCUUACAGCACUGGCUAGUCUAUUACAGGAGUAUAAAUCAGAUAACUUGCAAUAUGUCAUGUUACUCUUCUGUAGUGCCUAUCUGUUUAAACAGACAUUUGCAAUCCCAGGCUCCUUUUUUAUGAAUGUAUUAGGAGGAGCAUUAUUUGGGACAUGGAGAGCAUUUCUUAUGGCAUGUGUGUUAACUGCAUCAGGCGCCACCUUUUGCUAUCUUUUGUCUUGGUGUUUUGGGAAGUCCUACAUUGAAAAAUUCUUCCCAGAUAAAGUGCAGUUUAUGCAGAAAAAGGUCACAGACAAUAUGGACAGUUUAUUUUUCUUCCUGCUAUUUCUGAGAUUGUUUCCAAUGUCGCCAAACUGGUUCCUGAAUAUGGUAUCACCAGUUCUAGAUGUUCCUAUACAUAUGUUUUUCUUAUCAGUAUUUAUAGAUUUCUACAGUGCAGAGGCACAUAAUCCACAGCUGAAAAUGUGGAUACCAUGAGACCUAAAACUCGAGCCAGUUGUCUACUAGCCACAACUGACCUUUUGUACAAGUUCAAACAUUCAUUCAUUAUGUUUUGCACCUUUUCUAAUGGCAAUAUGACAAUCAUCUUUUCAGAGUCUAUAUCAUUGCCUAAAAAAGUUUGAUGCCAUACAACUUCAUCUGUGUUCAGACAGGCAGUAUGCUCUUCGAGAUUACCUCUCUUGACAGAAUCUUCACAAAGGAAAUUACAUUGAAAAUGUUUGGCAUUGCUAUGGUAGCACUGUUACCUG
rnacentral:misc_RNA from 1 species